CAAACAUGAGGCUUCAUAGUGUCAAAAAUAAUAUAUGGUAAGAAAUAGUGAGGUUGGAUUCUCACAUUGUCCGAGAGUAAAUCAAAUAACUUUUAAGGUGUAAAAACCUGUUAGUUUCCAACUGCAGUUGAAGGUGCACAAAGCAUAUUUUAUUUUUAUAGCCUUUAUUAUACAGGGGAGAAAAACAGUUGUAGCCGAGAUACUUGAAAAGAUUUAAAGUAUCUUGAAAAACAGAGUAUUAUUACCUAUGCUGCUCUUAAUGAGAUGAUAAUUAUUUCUAGCUGAAAGACAUACUCAGUAUAAAACUGAACAGGCUAUAUAUUUAAAGGUGGAUCACUUGCUGAACUAUUACUGUCAUCAUUACUGUUUCUGAAUGUAUUCUGCAUCAUAAUUGGUUUUUUUUGGUUCCGUAUAAAGGGUAAGAGAAAUAAUAAAUUAUGUUGAGCAAGGAGGAUGUACCAGAUGGAGCAUAAAUCUGCAAAAUGUGUCCAUUUCAGUCAAACUCCUUCCAGACCCUCUACUUUGAAUAUUUUUUUUAGCAUUGCAUAACAUUUUGGCCUUUGUUUUAUACAGAAGACCUGGGUUUUUUGCUCAAGGAGGGGUUCUGCAGAGUUGAACAUAAGAGCUUGGGUGAGACCCUGCUUCUUGCCCCUCCUAGGCAGGUUCAUCUCUUGCUGCCAAGCUUCAGCUUCUGUGCCAGCGAACUGUAUCGUCAGUGCACUUGCAUUUUGGAGGGUUGUGUUCCUUUCAGGUAGCCAGCAAGCAGCAGCUUAGAGCAGUUUCUGUUCUCUCACCUGAAGAUGUCUUUUGAAUUAUAUUCAAAAGGGAGACAGAAGAAUCAGUAAAAUUUCUUCUCAGGGGUCAUUGUCAAGCUGCUUGGCUAACAGGGUUGAAAACAUGGAGGAAAGGGAGAGUUUACAACUAAAACAGCAAGAAACCCACCAAACUUCAGUGAGUUAAUAGUUUAUUUCCCUUGUUUAAAUAGCACUUGCACAGUGGCAGGACAAGCUGUCUCGUUUUGUGAGCCUCAGACUCUCAUCUUCCAUUCAGGCCCCCUAAGAUCCUCCCCAGCAAACACCCACUCAGAGCAUCACUGGCCUCCUGCACCUCCUGCAGAUUUUACCACAGGGGAUGAUGGCACAUGACUGUUGUGUACUAGCUUUUGGUAUCUGACAUUAACUUUGCUUUUAGACAACCAAGUGGUUCCAUGGUGUUCAUUUACUGAUGACUCCUUUUUAGAGCUCGCUUCACUCAGAAGUUCCAGAUUUUGUCUCAUCAAACAUAUGUUGCAAACACAAAACCUCUUUCAAUUACACAAAAUAGUGCCUUCUAAAAGGUAGUAGGUAGCUAGAAACAUCACUAAACCCCCCCCCCAAAAAAACACUACAAAACAAACAAACAAAAGCAAAAACAAAACAAACAAACAAAAACCCCCAAAACAAACAAACAAACAAAAAGCAAACCAACAAACAAAACCAAACCAAAACAAAACAAAAAAAAGAGAGAAAGGAAAAAUGGAUUGGAGCAGUGUUUAGGGAUGAUUAAAGCAAAUCUGUGAUAGCUUCAAGAAUCACCAGGUUUGUAAGGCACCUCUACAAAAGGUCCAGGUAUCAAUACAACCCCCCAACACCCCAUCCCAUGGAUGCACAUUCUGGUGUGUCUGCCCUCCCAAAACAAUGUAAAACAACAGCACGGAAAGUUCGAAGGAAAUAAUGGUGUGAAGUUUCCUUUGAGGAGCUAGGAGAGAAGGUGUAAUAUCUGCAGCUGGGGAGGUGUCCUGUUGCACAGCAGGGACUGCUAUCAUCGGUGGGUCUUGCCACCCCUGGUUCUUUAAAGAAAUGCUGCACUGGAGGAUGUGGGAAUUAACCACGUGCGUAUGGCAGGUGGGCUCAGCACAGAGCAGUCAAUUUUGGCUGUGACUUUGGGAGCAGUGGCUCCAGCUGCCGGGAAAAUAUUUGUCUGCUCACCAGACACAGUUUUUAUGUCACCUACAGGAAGGAGGCCCAUUUGUCACAGCUGCAGAACAGCCAGUGUAGAGAGUUAAUGACUGCUGCUUGACUAUCUCCUGGGGAGUCAAGCAGCACUUGCAACAGCAGGCUUUGGUUUUCCUCCCUGUGUGCCUCCAUGCAUGUCACAGGGGCUGGGAGAGUGUUUGCUGUGGUCAUCCAACACGUCCUCAUUCAGAAGUGUCAUUUACAGGCAGUAGUGAGGGUGCUGCUCCCUCAGUGCCAUACCUCUGUUAGAGUCAGUACUUUUUUAGCUGUCUGUGGUAAGAAGCCCUUUCCCUUGGCACAGCCUAGGUCUUCCCCAGCAGCAAAGAUGCUGUAGACCACCAGCAGAGCCGCAUUCCGUCAUACUGUCACUCAUUUUUGGACACAAAAGUAAAUGCUGUGCAGAACCACCCCAGAGUGGGAGGAUUUCUGUCUGGAGUAGGGCACUUUCUCAUCUGAGGUCUGUGUAUGCCCCUUGGGGGAAAAAAUGGAUUAUAUUUCAAUAUGCAUGUUUAAUGGAAGAGCUAAUCGCCAUCAUUACCAAUGGAGAUCAAAGGAGGGGCUGCUGAUGAGUGUGAGGGAGAGGACUUUCAAGACUACAAGCUAAGUAAGUGAAAUAAUAAUGCUAUUUGCCCUCAUAAUGAGUGUCUUACUUUUUACCUACUUCAGAUUAGGCCCUUUCUUUCUUAGGAAGAAUGAAAUUAAGGUCCCUGAAAGAGAAUGCUUAGUUUGAGAAAUGUCAAAGUGGCCCCCAUGUGACUCUGCGUGCGCUGUUUGGUCUGCUCAAAACAGAGCAGUGUGGCAGGAAUUCUCAAACCUGUUUCCAAACAGACUCUGUCCUUCUGAGCCAUGGGAUGUUGGCUCCCUUGGCCUGGCCUCAUGAGCGGAUGCAGAGAACCAGCAAACCAGCAGGCACAAGGGCAGUAUCUUUUUCUGAGCCCUAUCCAAGCUCCCUUUUUUUUUUUUUUCUAUUUUUCUUCUUUUCUUUUUUUCUUUUUUUUUUUUUUCUCUUUUUUUUUUUUUUUUUCUCUUUUAGCAUGGCCUCCUGCCAGGGAAGUGCUCUGGGCAGGGAGAGCUCGGGAAGGUCAGGGACCACUCUGUGUGUGGGACAGCUGUGCCAGCAGCUGCCAGCAGCCAGGGAGUGCGUGCCUGGGAGUGGGGCAGCGAUGGAUCGUUUGCUGAUGUAAAUAUCUUGAUUAUGUUCUGUGCUCUGCUCAGCCCUCCUGGUCUCAGACAGGAACAUAAGCUAAUCCUCUCUGCAGCCAUGGCUGGAGAGUGGAAUGGGUGAGCUGGACACGGUGAGAGCCACUUCAGGGCUCUUUGAAUGUCCCCUGGACAGUCUUGCACCAAGGUCCAGGAGAAACAGAGCUGUUGUUCCCAGCCCUUCACAGAUAGCAGGGGCCUGAGAGGGUGGUCAUGGAGCCCCAGAGGGAGGGGACAAGAAGAAACAGGCAGGAACUGGAGGGCCGACAAGGUGCACGAGAGCCUAAGGCUGGAUCUCUCUGCUGUGGGCCAGUGUAAGGAGAGCAGAGGCACCAGCAUCCCAAGGGGUCAUGAGCAAAGUAUGAGCAAAGUCUUAACCAUGGUACCCCUCCAAGACCAGUUUAAAACCAGUGGCUGCUCAACUGUCAAAACACUAAAAGCCAGUCUUCUCACUGGCUCUGGAUGGCUCACAUUUGGUCAUUUGGGAAUAAUUAAGGAAUGUGAUCAAAAUAUAAAAACAUUUUUGAUUAAGAAUGCUUUUGCAGCUUCACAAGAACAGCUUUGGAAGCCUGCCAGAUGGAUGUAUCUUCUGACAUUUGAGUUUCCCUUGGCCUGAGGAUAAAGUUCUCCUUUUAAAUACUAAGUGUCUGUUCAACAGGAAUGAUAAAAUUAUUUGAUUCGGUAUGGAAAAAUUAUUCUGACCAUGGUAUUUCCAUAUCAACAACACUUGGAGGCUUUGCAGAAAUAAAGAGCUUAUUUUGCAUCAUUUUAUGGAUACCUUUGGAUUUCAUGAACUUCAAGUUAAGACCUUGCAGUUGGCAGCAUCAUACCCAUAAUUCAAAAACAGUUUGAGUGCUGGAUUAAUUUCUCACCAGGAGGUAUAUUUUGCUUGUUCCAAAUGAGAAGAGCAUUUUAGACCAUGUCAGAUUAUCAGAAUUAAUAAAACAGAAGCAAUCAGAAUCAUGAAUCAUAUGCAAACUGUUAGAACUUUAAUUAAAGUAAUUAGAAUAUGAAAGCUACUGGACAAUAUUGGAGCACAGAUCCCCCUCAAAGAAAGCAUGGAUCAUUCUUUUUAACAAUGCAAAAACGUACAUCUCUGUUAAAUACAUAAACAUCACUCAAUUUUAAUGCAACAUAUAUUUUUAUACUUCUAACCUUAGCAGUCAUUUUAAAAAUGUACAAAGUUUUAACCUUCAUUUUUGUUUAAAGAAAAGCCACAUGUUUAAAGCAAAGCAAACCAGUCAUUAAAAAAACAUACCAGCAGCUUUAGCAUGUGUACAAAUUACAGAAAGCAACAUUUAUUUUGAGAUAAACCAACUGGAAUUCUUUAAGUAUGAUAGAAAACGAUGCAUGAGGUAACAUUUAAUUUAAAAUCUAGGAUCCCUGUACUGUAGUUCCAAACAGUGCUCUGGCUUGACACCUACAGUCCUUGCAAAAUUGACUUGUUUAAGUAGUUGAGGAUGGCUAUUAGGCACACUGCUUUGCAUAAAGACAGCUUUAUCCUAAGAAAAAAUCUGAUGUUAAUGCUGAAAGAUAUUCUGAAAGAAACGAAAACCCACUUAUAUCUCUCAGGUGAAAUACACAUUUGCCUGUUUCUCAGGUUUACCUUCAAAUUAUAGGAACAAACUGAAAAAUGGGGCCUUUUCUCUACAGGAGUGUGUUGAUAGAGAAUUGACCUCAGGGCAACUUUGGGAAAGUGUGGCUAGCUACUGCUUUUGCCUCUUUCAGCACAAGUAGCCUGCUGAGAACAGAACAAGAUGUCCUGCAGAAUAAUCCAUGGUCAGAGGGCCAGGCUGGGAAAAGAUGAGGCUCCCAAACUUUCUUUUCCCUCUUUCCUGAGCAAGAGUCUUCAGAUUUUGGGUUGCCUUUUUUUUUAGCAUGCUGCUUCCAGACACUACUUCUCACUCUCAAUUCUAAAAGUAUUUCUGAAAAACUAAAAACAAGUCAAUUUUAGAGAACCCAAAGGCACAAUUAGAUCAUACAAGUAUGAAUUGAGUAUUUUUAGGCAUUUCUGUGACACUGUUCCCUGUAGUAUCCAAGCAUCUUUCACCAGCAUUAGUGAAUGUUAUCCUUAUAGCACCCCUCUGAGAUUGGAGAACCUUCUGUGCUUGUAGUCUCAUGUUACAAAUGCUUCAGUCUGGCCUUGCAUGAUGCGGUCAAAGCUAUCUUUGUUCAAAAACUGAAGACUGAGAAGAACUGAGGCUUCCUAGGAGUUACUGCUACACAGUUUGGUUCUCCUCCACGAUGACUUGCUGCUGUGAAGACAAAACACUUCUCGGCUGCUGCUCUGUACUUUAGGUUUUGCUCACCGUUUGUAGUUUCCUCCCAGAGUGGCCUUGUGGCUGGCCCUGCUCAAGUAUGCAAAGAUGAGAGCUCAGGCUGUGUGACACUGGCUUCUCCACUGCAAAAGGCACAACAAAGUUUGCUCUCUGUUGUGCUCCUAGCACUAUGAAGUUUGUUUUUCUCUAGUAACUAGAAUCUACUGAGAUGCCCAGUAACCAUUAAAUGACAGAGAACCUUUCACUAAAGAUGAUAAACGAAGGGCAUAUUGCUCUCUCUGCCCACCAGUACGGUUCUGGCAGGGUAACACAGUGCAGGGUGCUUGCAGAAGACCCUUCAGCUCAUUCAUCUGCGGCCAUCUGUCCGUCUCUCUCCACACACGCACACUCGCUCCUCUACACUCACGUGUGCUCCUCCUCAGGCACUCUCAGAAGCUUUCUGUCCCAGGUAGGUGAAACAAGCCUUUCUCAAAGGGAAUGCUGCCAAGCUGUGCUGCCUAAACCCCAUGAAAUGCAUUUCAGCCAUUCCACCAGAGAGAGUCAAGUCCACUUUGAAUUUCUGUGGCCUGUGAUGGUAAAAUGCCCUGCCAAAGAGCACAAGCAGCGCAGGGGGCUUUGCCACUACCAGUAAUCCCAACUUCAAGUCUCUUAUCACAAACCCUCCAUAGAUGUUUGGCUUCACAGAACUAAGGCAGAGGCAGUAACACCACAAAAUAAUCUAAAUUAUCUAAAAUAAGGGAGCAGACAGAGCAAUGUUCUGAAAGAUCAAAACAUGACAUGAUUUGAGCUUGAUUCCCUUUAUGGUAGUGGGGACUGUUUCUGCCAUUUGAAAACACAGGUUAAGCCUUGGAUCCUGUGCAUUUACUUUUUAAAAAUAUACAAAGAUAUUGCAAAUUAUUUUACUAAACCAGAUGAAAAGCUUGUUGAUGGCAACAAGGAAGGAAAUGUCAUCUACAAAAAUAAGUACCUUUAACUUUUUUCGAGAAUUUGCUUUUGCAGUUUUUUGGUGCUUGCAAACUCGGAUAAAAUCAGUUGAUCUAAGUAACCAGUUAAUUUAUUGCCUGUAGCCUUCCAAUUGUUUUAUUAUAGUUUAGGAGGGAUUUUUUUGUUCAUCAUAAUAGACACAAAAGCAGAGUUACAUUUGCUUUGGAGAGCAAACUACAAAAUUUAGCAAUGAAUGUUAGUUCCAGGCUGUGCUGUUUUCUGCAUGGGCACAUACACCUUACUUGCCACCCUGACAGUAGCCUCCUUAAAAGUUAAAAUUAAUUUUUUUUCAGUUCUGUAUUUUUUUCUUUGCAUUUCUGUUGUGGAUUUUUUGCUGGAUUAUGGAUAAAGCUGCUGUUUCAAUUUUUACAUCCUUUCCUAAGAGGGGAUUUAUAUGCUCACAUUUGCAGAUAGGCCACGCCAUUCUAUUAUGUAAAUGUAAGUAUUUACUUUGCAUUACUUUGAUUACCAAGGGGAGUUAUGAGAAAGGGUAGCUUUUUUUAAAUGCUGAAUGAUGCACAUGAAGAGAGGUGGGAGAAGCAGGUAAUAAGGGCAAUUGCUUCCUGUUUCCAGGCAGUUUUGCUUUGAGAGUUAACGGGAAAAGUGCAGUACAGUACUCAAAUACUUUAUCUGCAGAUACAAUAGCUUAUUUUUGCUUUGCUCUUGUUGUGGGCUCCCAGAGGGUGGGAGGGUACUAUAAAGCUGACUCUGCAAUACCGAAGUUUUGUCAUCAGCAAAGGAAUCUGUGCAGCUCAACAUUUUUGCUCACAUGUCUACAUUGUAGACCCCUAUUAGGCACUAUCUCUCAAUCCUUAACCAAAAGUCUAAAAAAAGGCAAGCAAUCUUAAGUCCUUUAAGAUUCCUCUCCAGGUUCCUGGUUGAAUCAGAGAACAACUUAGGUUGUAAGGAAAUUGCAGACAGUUUUCUUGCUAAGUUCCCCUCUAUUCAAAGCAGGGCCACCUUUGAUACUGGACCAGGCUGCUCAUGUCCAGAUGAAUUUUAAACCUAAUGGAUUGCCCCUGUUUUCAAGUCAUUGUUACACAUUCAGUUGUGAAAUAUACAAAACCUGCAUGCCUCAAACGAUUCUGCUGCUCCGGGGAUGCACUGCGAACUUAGCUGGAAAAGUCUGGGUAAAGGUUUUCAGUAGAAAGUCACAAGGUGGCUGGAGCUAAGGAAUGAACUUGAAUUAACUCAUUUAAUUCUUGAUUUUAUUCCCACCAAUUCCUUCUACUCUUGACUCUCCUUUUCAGCUUAGCAAAUGGGAAGUAAAAAAAAGUCCAUCAAAGAAGAGUUGUGUUGUAAGCUACUUUUUAAUCACAGCAUUAGUUGACAUUCAGUCAGCAUGACAAUUACAUUUUCCUUUUCAAAAUGCCAACAGACAAAAUAAGCCUAGCAGGAACCUUCAGAAGAAAAUGAGGAAAUGUCUAAAGACACUGAAUGUGGAAUGACAGAAAAUAAUGAGGUAAAACUACUAAAUUGAUUUGAGCAGUGACAAGGUUUGGUAAAACCAAGGAAAAGAUUCCUUUCGGGAUCAUAGACAAAAGAGCACCUAAAAAUAUACUGCCAUUCUUCUGUUCUACUGAGAUGGAUUGGAUGUCACAGUUAUGAAAUGCUGAGACUGAAGCUCACUCUCUAACCCUACAAUUAAUUUGCAGGAGCUGCAGCCAAAAUGCCCUUCUGUGCAAGUCUGUGCUCCAAGCUGAGCCUAAAGCUCGAUCUCCCUGCCCCCGUAUUUUGUUUUUAGCCUUUUUGUUCAGAAGGUGCCAAUUACUGAGAAGUCUGGCAGUGGUUUUGCUGAGGAUUGCAUCUAUGCACUGACAAUUGAAUUUGGCUUUCCAAAGCAAAUCCACACAAGCUGUCUGAGCCCGAGCUUGGAGCCAGGGCUGUGCUUCAUCCCAUGCCCUCCGGCUGCUCUGCAGGGCUGCUGCAGCCUGCGACCACGCUUGGACCCAGUUUGCUGCUAAGCUGGCAAUUCUGCCUUGUUUCACGAUGCUGCCAGGCUGCUAUACAGUGUGUUGCAGAGCAUAGAAUAAAUUCAGAGCUCCUCUUCCUACCCUACAGCCUGUUCUGCACUGCAACCCCUCCACAGGACCUUACUCCCUUCAAAAUAGAUGGUUUGCUGAACUGUAGUAGAAAGCCAAACAUGAACACGGGAAGGGAAUCCUAACAUUUUAUUGUUAAGCUGGGCAUGCCAAUUUGCUACCAAAAUUGUGAUAAUUUUGUCAUGUUUAAUUAAUUCUUUAGUGACAUUUCCCCCAUGCAGCCCUGUCAGUUACUCAGAAACUGGAAGGCGUAGUGCCUCCUUACUGCACGUUAUAAAACCUGCACGCUGGUUUAUUGCUGCUUGAAUCGUCUUCAGAGGUGUUUCACACUCCUGUCUCUGCAGAAUCCUCUACUGGGAGACCAGCGCGGUUUGUUACAUGGACACACUCUCCUCAUCCUUCAGUCCCUCUCCAGGGCAGCUGAGAGGGAAAUGGUGUUUUCUGUCCUCUGAUUCCCUCAUCUCCACACCAUGCUGCUGUCUUUAGGAGGGAUAUACAAUAUCUAUAAGAUUUUCAGCCUGUCCUCUUUCUCUCCCAUUCCAGUUUACUAAUCUAAAUCAUGUUUCAGCUUAAAGGUCUGCUGUUUCAUUUACUCUUUAUCUAGCUGAAAUGGCGAUUUUUGAAAAUGGCUUAGUAUUAGUCCCACGUGGAGAUCAUGUUUAGACUUGAACCCUUGUUCUAAGGAACUGUUCAAAGGUCGAAACAAACUUGCCUGCGCAACACUCUCCUGUACACACCCACAUACGUUUGCAUGGCUUCCCAAGGGUUCCUGCCGCUAUCCCCAGGUAACAACACUCUCCUGUACACACCCACAUACGUUUGCAUGGCUUCCCAAGGGUUCCUGCCGCUAUCCCCAGGUACCAACCAGCUGCACCCGAACCUCUGCCAGCCGUGCCACAACCACAGCGCCUCGGGGAGAGCGGAGCGCAUCCCGCGGCCCCCACGCCCGACCCCGCCUGCUCUGCACCGGCGGGGCGCUGGGACGCUGCUGACACUGCGGGAUGCUCCGUCCCCCUCGCCACCUUGCAGCCCAACACAAAGCCAUGCCCGACGCCUCUGGCUGCCCGGGCCUGAAAGCAUCCUUUCUCCCUUCUUUUUAAGCACGAGGCGCCAUCCCACAAAAGAAGGCGCUCCUGCCUUCAAAAGGUUUCUGUUCGUGGGCCGUGGCCUGCCCUGAAUCAGCUGCAUUCAUCAGCCACCCCUCCGUCUGGGGCCGCUUCUCUCUGGCUGCGGAUUCGGCGAAACACCGAGCAAGAGCCAGAUAUAAAUCUCCUGCUCAAAGGAAAUAUUUAGCACCAAAACGAGUAGAAAAUAAAAAGGCUUCUCUGUGACUUACCCAAUCCUCUCACUUGGGGCGGCUCUAUCUAAACAAGCAGGGCUCUGAGCGCUCCCGCCUGGAAGAGCGGUGCCAGCGGGAUGGGGAGCGGGACUGCCCCGUGCCUGCGCACCCGCUGCUGCGCCCCAAAGGCUGCAGGCACUGCCCGGGAAAUGCAGAGCUUUGUCCAUCCAGCCCCGGGCUCGGGGAGCGUGAGAGCCUGCCCAGGACAGGGAGGGGAAAGAACCUGCAGCUUCCUCUUAAUUCUGAAAAAGGAAAGCUCACGACACAACAAUGCAACUUCAUGUACUUACUAAAAGCCAAGGCACGUUAAUCCACAGCUUAUCAGUGCUCUGCUUUUAUUUCCCACUCUGUGAGCUGCUCUGCAAUACAAGGGGUAAGAUGCAGAUCAACUUUCUUUAUCUUUUCAUUUUAACUUCGAUUGUGUAAUUCAGUCUGGAAAGGCCAAGUCUCCACAUGAAUUCAUUGAGAUGAUGGUGUUCCAGCUCUCUGACACAGAAACAGGAUGGGUUUCUAUUGCAAAACAAUUACCACAGAGAUAGAUAGCCAUUUCAUAAGCAACAGCACAAGAGACACAGCUAAGCCAUUUCGCUAGAACUCAAGGAAGUACUUUUGGAAAGGAAGAAGUGCAGGACAGGGCAUGUACCAGCAUCUACCUGACAGAGACACUAUCAGUGAUGCUCUGCCUGGGGCUUUGGCCACAGAGGAUGUCUGCCCACUCCCAGCCUGUAGCCCAUCACACUGGCUGCUUCACCAGCCCAGCUCAAUUUGCCACUAACAGGGAGCAGCGAGGUUUCAGGAGGCUGCUGAAGCUCCUGCCAACAGCCCCAGAAGCAGGCCCAGUGUCUGCAAGGGACAGAGGGAGAGCUCCCUCCCCGCUGAGCACCCUGCCUGCCCACCAGCGAGCACCCGGGGCAGCACGAGGGGAUGGCUGGGACCACUCCCUGCAGAAAUGUCAUCACAUUUUGUUAAUCCAGCAGAAAAAUGUAAAGAAAUACAUGACCUGCAGAAAACAGAAAGAGAUGCAAUGCACAUGUCCUUAUGUCAAUGUGUCAAUUCUUGCCCAAGUCCCACCACUCCUGUGCUCAUUCAGUAUCUUGCAAAGUAAAGGACUGGUAAGUAUUACACACACACCUGAAAAUUUAUCUUUUACAGUGCUAUUAUUUUAAGUCUGUAUCACCAAUAAUUAUUUUUUAUAUAUUUGUUCUUGUAUCUUUUAUCUAAAGUACAAGCCUCAGUGUUAUCCUCUGUUUUCAGAUUUUUACUUUUUGGUGCAACCAUUACCUUGAAACCUACACUUGUAAUGCACAAAAUUCUUCAAAAAUACUGCUGUUUCAAUUUUAGUCGUGUACCAAAAGAAAUAUUACACAAAAAUAUUUUCCUGCUUCAUCUCUACAGUUCCUGAAAAACUGCAUCUUGUGGACUUGGAGACAAAUGUACUGGAGAAACCAAAAUUACGUGAAUAGAGGAGACCUCAAAUGGCCACUGUGAUCUGUAACUAUCUAUAUACACCUUAUAUACAUAUGACUGUUUGAGAACCUGUAUUCAUGAAUGUGUACAGUCUACAUCCUGCACACAUUAAUUUGUCUGAGGGUUUUUUAAAAAGAAUUUGUUUAAAGUUACUGUCAAAAAAUAUUAACCCUGUGGUGACACAGCAAACAUGGUUGCUGGUUUUACUCUUACCCUCCUACUGCCACUGCUCAUUAAACGUAAACUGAUUUUGCAAAUCUGUCUGUUAACACAGUAAUUUCUACAUUUUUUUCUUAUUGUAUUUGCACAUGUAACAAAUUGGUACAAAUAUUUCCAAUAAAAUGUAAAGCUCACUGUUACAAUGCCUUUCAUGAUGGCCAUAACUGGUUACUAGUCAACUCAGAAGUUUUGUAGAGACAUUUUUAGCUGAACUUGGAAAAAUAGGAAACGUAUUGUAGUUUAAAAUAAAUGUACAUAAUAUACAAUAUAUAUAUAUAUCUUUAUACACAUGUGUAUGUCUACAUACACAUAUACUGAUAAAACAUUUAAAGUAAUGUUUAGUCUUGAUCAGUUCUCUGACUGCUGGGACUACCUGGCAAAUAAAUCUAGAAACAGAAUUUGUCUGCAAUUAAAUAAUAAUUUCCACAACUUAGAAAAAUAUACUUUUACUAAAUAAGGUUUAAAUUAACUGAUUUAUGGAUAUAGGAUAAAGGAUAAUGGUUUCCAGACUCUGACAUGAUUAAAUCUGAAAGGACCCAAGCUACUACAGACCAGUAACAAGCGCUGCCCCGCAGCCAAACACAGAAGAGCACAGAAACACAAGCUGCUGCAGCAGCAGCAUCAGUGACACCCAAACCCUCCCUGCUUCCCCCACCUUUUACACAGCCUUCAUUUCCACCCAGCCUGGGUCUCCCAGCCGACCCCACGCUGUGAUUUAAGGCGCGCUCCAGCCACAAGCACACGGAGCGCAGCGCUCCGCAGGGCCGGUGUGAACGGCUCCUCGCUCCCACACAACGCUGCCUUGAGAGCCAACACAUCAUCAAGGACCCUAAUUGUCAGCUUGGAGGACCAUCAGUACUUGAGCUUCACCAUAUGGAUUUUGAUCUACUGCAUAGGUAAAUACAUCAUGGCAAAACGUACAUUUGUGUGUUGUGUGUGUGCAUGUGUAUAGAAGUAUAAGUACACGUGCACACACACAUGUAUGUGUACAUCUCUAUAUAAAAAAUUUCAUGGAACUAUGUGUAGUAAUGUUAUCUAGCAUGGUAUCCUGCAUACGUUAUCUGAUCUUAUUAGUUUUUAAUAUAGAGGCACCAGAAAUAAUUAUAGAGAACAAAUCAACCUUUAAAAAUUAAACUUAGAUCAGUGGACAAGAACUUUGGUAAAGCUUGUCAAUAUUUAUUUUUGUUUUAUUCAAAUACAGUCAAAAUCUAUCAGUUGCCAUCACCCUCUUCACAAGAGGAAAGUGCAUGUUUUUUUUUCCUAAAGAAAAUUAAAUGUAAGGUGGGACUUAAUGAAUCAAGAAAAUUCUGAAUUAAAUGUUUAUAUUUUUCAUUACUAUCUGAUGCAAUGAAAGCUAAAUAGAGUUCUUGUCCUGUGUGUAUUUUAUUUAUCAUAUGCACAUAUAUAUAAAUAUAUAUAUAUAUAUAUGUACUUCUCUGUUCAUGUAGCUGUGUGUGUACAUACACAUCCACACACUUUCAACAUGAGAGAGGAACCUGUUUUUCUCCACUUUCUGCGGGGAGACUCCCACGUUCCUCCCUGUCUUGUACCCUGUGCAGUAUAAGCUCCAGUGAUGAGGCCAAACAAAAAGAUAUAGUUCACCAUAGUAUAUUAGUUUAUGUAGCAAAGUCAUUUUCAAGCAAGUAAAAUAAAGCUCUGUAUUCCAAACUUCUUUUCCAUUUCUCAUAAAGAAAAGGAAGGAAAAGGAGAGAGGGGAGGGAGUGGGGUUAUGGCAGUAGCAUUGAGCCAGUGGCACGUGGCGGCGUGCGUGUGCGAGCACAGGUCCGCACACACACAGGCGCACAGGAGCAGGGCUUUGGUUGACAAAUGCAGAUUGUCCAGAGGAGGUGGAUGCAUAAGUAAGGAAGACUCUACAGUGAUGCAAUUGUAUCUUUUAUGCUUGCAUGGAGUGAGAAAAAAAAUUCAAUCGGAGAAAAAAAAAAAAAAGAAAAAAAAAAAGAA